UUUUUUAGGGCAAUUGUUUUGUUUGAUAGACGAAGCUUAGGGUCUCUUUGGGUUUGCAACCCUUACCCUCCUGGAAAAAAUCAUAGUUGUGCUAGACUGCGACACUUCAGACCAGGUACUAUUAGAGCCGCUAAUGGACGACGAGCUAUUUUCCGCUAUCCGGAGCUCAAGCAUUUGAGCCGCUAAAUGGACGAGACUCCUGGGGUAAAGGAUGCAGAGAAUGAGGAGAAAACACUCGUAUGGAGCAGGGAGUAGGUAUUGUACUACUUCCUGGUAUGGAGCACUGAGAAGCGCAUUAGGCGAUUUGAUCGCAGGACAAGAGAGGAGCUGAUGGACGAUCUCUCCAGUGUCCCUCUUGGUUCGGAGCAGCGCCGAGUGCUGACGUUGGGACUUGGAGUUCUAGCAUCCGUAGCUGCCUCAGGGGGUGCCACUUCUCCCAUCAGCGUCGACCAGUCCGCC